AUUGAACGCUGGCGGCAUGGCUAAAACAUGCAAGUCGAACGCGAACGGGGGCAACCCCUAGUAGAGUGGCGAAAGGGCGAGGAAUAGAUUCCUACGUACCUCAAGGUCGGGGAUACCUCGGAGAAAUCCGAAUCAAUACCCGAUGUGGUCGGAAACGAUCAAAGGCUUGCUGCCUUGAGAGCGGGGAAUCUCCUAUCAGGUAGUUGGUAGGGUAACGGCCUACCAAGCCUAAGACGGGUAGCGGGUGUGAGAGCACGGCCCGCCGCAUCGAGACUGAGACACUGCUCGGACUCCUACGGGAGGCUGCAGUAACGAAUCUUCCGCAAUGCGCGAAAGCGUGACGGGGCAAUGCCGCGUGUGGGAUGAAGCCCUUCGGGGUGUAACCACUGUCAGGGUGCAGGAACUCAAUGACCAUACCCAAAGGAAGCACCGGCUAACUCUGUG
rnacentral:rRNA from 1 species